UGGGGAAUCUUGCGCAAUGGGCGAAAGCCUGACGCAGCCAUGCCGCGUGAAUGAUGAAGGUCUUAGGAUUGUAAAAUUCUUUCAGCAGGGACGAUAAUGACGGUACCUGCAGAAGAAGCCCCGGCUAACUUCGUGCCAGCAGCCGCGGUAAUACGAAGGGGGCUAGCGUUGCUCGGAAUUACUGGGCGUAAAGGGAGCGUAGGCGGGUUAUCAAGUUGGAGGUGAAAGCCCAGGGCUCAACCUUGGAAUUGCCUUCAAAACUGAUAGCCUAGAGUAUGAUAGAGGUAAGUGGAACUCCGAGUGUAGAGGUGAAAUUCGUAGAUAUUCGGAAGAACACCAGUGGCGAAGGCGACUUACUGGAUCAUGACUGACGCUGAGGCUCGAAAGCGUGGGGAGCAAAC
rnacentral:rRNA from 1 species